GGACUACAAGGGUUUCUAAUCCCGUUCGCUCCCCUGGCUUUCGCGCCUCAGCGUCAGAAGAGGUCCAGCACGCCGCUUUCGCCACCGGCGUUCCUUCCGAUAUCUACGCAUUUCACCGCUCCACCGGAAGUUCCGCAUGCCCCUACCUCCCUCGAGGCAACCAGUAUCAAAGGCCCUUUUCCGGUUGAGCCGAAAGAUUUCACCCCUGACUUGGUUGCCCGCCUACGCGCCCUUUAAGCCCAGUGAAUCCGAACAACGUUCGCACGGUUCGUCUUACCGCGGCUGCUGGCAC
rnacentral:rRNA from 1 species